rnacentral:rRNA from 1 species
GAUCCUGGCUCAGAACGAACGCUGGCGGCAGGCCUAACACAUGCAAGUCGAGCGCACCCUUCGGGGCGAGCGGCGGACGGGUUAGUAACGCGUGGGAAUAUACCCUUCACUACGGAAUAGCCUCGGGAAACUGAGAGUAAUACCGUAUACGCCCUUCGGGGGAAAGAUUUAUCGGUGAUGGAUUAGCCCGCGUCUGAUUAGAUAGUUGGUGGGGUAAUGGCCUACCAAGUCUACGAUCAGUAGCUGGUUUUAGAGGAUGAUCAGCAACACUGGGACUGAGACAC